AGUAGAAAAAUAUAUUAGCAGAAUAUGGAAAUAUGUAAGUAAAUUCUCAAAAUUGUACUUAAGGACAAUACUUGAAUAAAUGUACAUAGUUACUUUCUACCACU